CUAGCGACUUCAGAGUUUGAUCCUGGCUCAGGAUGAACGCUGGCGGCGUGCAUAACACAUUCAAGUCGAACGAAGCAGCAAUGCUUAGUGGCGGACGGGUGAGUAACGCGUGAGCAACCUGCCUCGGAUUGUGGAAUAACACAGGGAAGCUUGUGCUAAUACCGCAUAACAAGUAAGCUUCGCAUGAAGCACACUUCAAAGAGUAGCGAUACUUGAUCUGAGAUGGGCUCGCGUCCGAUUAGAUAGUUGGUGAGGUAACGGCUCACCAAGUCGACGAUCGGUAGCCGGACUGAGAGGUCGAACGGCCACAUUGGAACUGAGAUACGGUCCAG
rnacentral:rRNA from 1 species